CCUACGGGUGGCAGCAGUGAGGAAUAUUGGUCAAUGGGCGCUAGCCUGAACCAGCCAAGUAGCGUGAAGGAUGACUGCCCUAUGGUUUGUAAACUUCUUUUAUAUGGGAAUAAAUUGCAGUGUUAAUACCGCUUUUCAUGUACCUUAUGAAUAAGGAUCGGCUAACUCCGUGCCAGCAGCCGCGGUAAUACGGAGGAUUCGAGCGUUAUCCGGAUUUAUUGGGUUUAAAGGGAGCGUAGGCGGGUUGUUAAGUCAGUUGUGAAAGUUUGCGGCUCAACCGGAGAAUUGCAGUUGAUACUGGCAGCCUUGAGUAAAGUAGAGGUAGGCGGAAUUCGUGGUGUAGCGGUGAAAUGCGUAGAUAUCACGAAGAACUCCGAUUGCGAAGGCAGCCUGCUGGACUGUAACUGACGCUGAUGCUCGAAAGUGUGGGUAUCAAACAGGAUUAGAUACCCGAGUAGUC
rnacentral:rRNA from 1 species